GGAAGGAUCAUCAAAGAAGCUAUGAGUUACGCAUAGCGAACGUAGCGGAGACGAAAGUCUUCGGGCGUUUAAAAGUCGCAGCGGCUGCGUGCCGGACGACUCUGACUGAUUACUGGUUCGAACGGAACCUAAGCCGGACUAGCAAUGUGGCGCGACGUUACCAGUCGUCCGUCCUGUGCUAGUCCGUUUGCGCCCUUGGCUUGCCGAGGGUAGGUUUAAUGAGGAGUCGAGCAUAUACGACCCCACCGUUCCAAAACCCCAACUUUUUAACUAAAGAAAAAAGCUAAAAUCUACUAUUCUAAGCGGUGGAUCACUUGGCUCGCGGGUCGAUGAAAAACGCAGCUAACUGCGUUACUCAAUGCGAAUUGCAGACACAUUGAGCAUCGGCACUUUGAACGCACAUUGCGGCAUCAAGAUUACUCUUGGUGCCACGCCUGAUCGAGGGUCGUUUUAAAGUACAUUUACCUACACGACUACAGGUAGUACUCAGCCUACUGCACGGCGCUGGCUCGAAAGAGUCUUAGCUGUCGAUGCACUUGUGCUGUCUAAUAUGCACUGGGUUUUUCAGUGUAACUAUCUGCAUUAACUGGUUGCGUGCUACCCCACCAGUGCAGACUUGUUCUUCGGCCUCGAUUCAGACGUGACUACCCGCUGAAUUUAAGCAUAUUACUAAGCGGAGGAAAAGAAACUAACAAGGAUUCCCCUAGUAAGGGCGACUGAACGGGGAAAAGCCCAGCACCGAAUCCCCUGGCGUUAGCCAUGGUGACCUGUGGUGUUAAGGAAAGCCUAUCCAGCAAUAGCGUAUGUCCCUGAGUUCCCUUGAUUGGGGCCACAGUCCGAAGAAGGUGCGAGACCUGUGAGGGAGACGUUGUAUACUGGUAAGUGCUUCCGUGGAGUCGGGUUGUCUGAGAUCGCAGCCCAAAGUUGGUGGUAAGCUUCACCUAAGGCUAAAUAUAACCGCGAGACCAAUAGCAAACAAGUACCGUGAGGGAAAGUUGCAAAGAACUUUGAAGAGAGAGUUCAAGAGGACGUGAAACUGCUUAGAAGGAAACGAGUAGAGCUGCGAGUGGCUCGGCCGAUUCAGACAGUCGGCGGUACACGCGGAGGUAGGCGACCGCAAGGCGUCUGCUUCCGAAGUGAAGCCGUUCGAAUGUCGCAUUUUGGCCGAGUAGCACUGGCGGCCGUACGGAUCCGGUAGUGCUCUGCAGUUGACGAUGCCAGCUUCGGUUGGUUGUCGAAUGUGGAAGUACGACUUGUGAACCGUACGGUUAAAAUGUAUGAACGCCUAUGCGCGAUAGCGGGCUCGGUUGGUGUCGGUUGGCUGACGUGCUUGCACGAAGGUUGAUCGGUGCUGAUCGACGCUCAGGACUCGCAGUUUCAUACACGCUGGUGAACUAAGUCAGCGACCUACUCGACCCGUCUUGAAACACGGACCAAGGAGUCUAACAUGUACGCAAGUCGUAGGGUGGAAAACCCGAAGGCGCAAUGAAAGUAAAGCUUUUGCGACACAGGAUCCGGUUUCGGCCGGCGCACUGUGGCCCCGUUCCGGCUGCAUGUCAGCGGAGCGGCGGUAGAGCGUACACGUUAGGACCCGAAAGAUGGUGAACUAUGCCUGAGCAGGGCGAAGCCAGAGGAAACUCUGGUGGAGGCUCGAAACGGUUCUGACGUGCAAAUCGAUCGUCAGACUUGGGUAUAGGGGCGAAAGACUAAUCGAACCAUCUAGUAGCUGGUUCCCUC
rnacentral:misc_RNA from 1 species